GGAUGAAUAACUUAAUAUUUUUACUGUAUCAACUUGAGGGACUACACAUAUUUUUCCCUUUGCAAUUUCACUUUCCAUUAUUCCUAAACUUUUCAAAGCACUCUUAAAAAUCAGCUUUCCCAGCACAAAAAAUUAGAUUUCACUUCAGUUGUCAAAGCCCCUUGCAAGCUAAUUGGAGGGAAGAAGGUGGGAAUAAAAUGGAAGAAAACAAAAAAAAAAAAGUAUGAGUAACGUACAUGAACAGUUUGCAUCUGGUGUAGAUCUGCAAGAGCCUUUUGCCUUGACUGAUAGUUAA